rnacentral:tRNA from 1 species
GCUCUUAUAGCUCAGGCGGCAGAGCGCGUCCUUGGUAAGGACGAGGUCUCCGGUUCGAAUCCGGAUAAGAGCUCCA